AUUACAAAACUGUACUGGGGAGGAGACGCAAGAGAGAAACUCCUUGAUGCAAUCGAAGAUCUGAAAUUGGACUCGUUGGUGAUGGGAAGCAGAGGACUUGGCACUGUCAAAAGGAUAAUUCUGGGAAGUGUGAGCACAUACGUGAUGAACCAUGCUCCUUGCCCAGUGACCAUUGUCAAGGAUAAGUGAUGGUUAAUGAAGAAUACCUGAACCUGGUGUGUUCUUCUAAAAUCCUUUUUUAUGGCUGUGUCUAGAGUCAAGAGUUUAAAUUCUUACUUUUUAAAGUUUGUUUGGCAAACUCUUUAUCAUAGUUAAUGUUUUUAA
rnacentral:misc_RNA from 1 species